rnacentral:rRNA from 1 species
AGUGAACGCUGGCGGUAGGCCUAACACAUGCAAGUCGAACGGCAGCACAGUAAGAGCUUGCUCUUACGGGUGGCGAGUGGCGGACGGGUGAGGAAUACAUCGGAAUCUACUUUUUCGUGGGGGAUAACGUAGGGAAACUUACGCUAAUACCGCAUACGACCUACGGGUGAAAGCAGGGGAUCUUCGGACCUUGCGCGAUUGAAUGAGCCGAUGCCGGAUUAGCUAGUUGGCGGGGUAAAGGCCCACCAAGGCGACGAUCCGUAGCUGGUCUGAGAGGAUGAUCAGCCACACUGGAACUGAGACACGGUCCAGACUCCUACGGGAGGCAGCAGUGGGGAAUAUUGGGCAAUGGGCGAAAGCCUGAUCCAGCCAUACCGCGUGAGUGAAGAAGGCCUUCGGGUUGUAAAGCCCUUUUGUUGGGAAAGAAAAGCAGCAGGUUAAUACCCCGCUGUUCUGACGGUACCCAAAGAAUAAGCACCGGCUAACUUCGUG